rnacentral:lncRNA from 1 species
GAAAAUCAAUUUUUUAUUUGUUUUAAACGUUUUCAUUUCAAUUAAAAAUAAAGCUUUUACAAUAAUUCAAGACAUUUUAUUAGUUUCUUUUCAUAAUAAUCACACAUAAAAUCAUAUAGCAUUAAUUAUUGCAUGUUUUACAAUUUCGUAAGCCUAAACAAAUUGUAACAGUAACCAAGAUAUCAGUAUUAAACCACCGAUCAGAACCUUAAAUUUUGCGUAUGGAAGACCACAUCAAUGUAUAUCAAAAUUCAUCGCCUGUGUUCGCAGCAAGUCGUUUAUUUAAGAAUCGCAACUAUGAAAGGCCGAAGACGCGAAGAUACAGUAUAUUGUACACUUCGCAAAUACAGAAACGAAUCCCAUCACAGAACAGAUUAGACAACAUUAUUUGCUUCAACUUCUUGACUUCUGGCUUCAACUUAUGGUGACCACUGGAGUGGGGAGUGAGAUGAGG